GUUAUCCUGAAAUGAGCGAAUGAACCCUUUUAUUUUGAACCUACAUCUUUCAUAAGGGAGUCUGCUGUCUGGUAUACGAUGCCAGGCCUUAGGUAAUUCCGACAUACGGCGUGAACGUUGUGCAACGGCGAAGGAAGGCUGAAGAUACCACCGGGACACCCACCUAGCGUUGGGCUAGGUGUCAAAAUACUGGGGACGCCAUUUUGGGAGUAAC
rnacentral:other from 1 species